ACGCAGGAGAAAGCAUUAUUUUCCUCCACUCUUCUCUUCCCCCUCACUUUUUUUCCCUGCCAAGCUUAGCAUAAGAAUCCAAACGGUGGCAUUGCUACGUCGGUAGCGUUGCAAAUCCAAAUCAUGAGUUGUUCAGUAUAACUUCAACGCGCCUCUCAGACUGAUUUCGACGACUAUGGCGGCUGAUUUUUCUGCUCUGAGUGCAACGAGGUCUACGGCGGAAAAUUCCCUGGAGAAACGAUACCGUUCGAUAUUCGAUCUCACGUCUGAUUUUUUCUACUCAUGUCGCCUUCUUGCUUCUCCUCAAUCGUCCGUUUCGGACAACCUUCAGAAUUGUCAGGACUCAGCGCAUGAAACCCUUGAUCCUAUUGAGGACGACGGUAAUGGCUCCCAAGGCGUCGUUGUUUCAUUGCCCAGGUGGACUUGCAAUACUUGCAAGGCUCAAUUUGAGUCCCUUCAAGACCAGCGUUUGCAUUUCAAAUCGGAUAUUCAUCGGUUCAAUGUGAAGUUGACAAUGGCUGGAAAGAAUAUUGUGAAGGAAGAAGAUUUCGAGAUGUUGACACCUGAUUCUAUCAAAGACUAUGAUGUUUCGAGCAUAUCAGGUUCAGAAGAUGAUGAUGAUGAUAACGAAAUUGAGAUUCCAAGACAACAUGAAGUUGGUAAAAAAUUAAAUGAAAGUUUUAGGCAGAAGUUAUUUAUCUGCCUUCCGUCAGGGGAGAGAGUUUCUGUUUGGAAAUGCUUAAUAAUGAAUAUGGGUGAGAAUGUAUUAAAUGAAAAUGAAGUGAUUGAGAGGUUGAAGUCUUUGACUCUUGAGCCCAGGAAUAAUUCUCACUUGAGAAUUGUGCUGCUUGCAUCCGGUGGGCACUUUGCAGGGUGUGUGUUUGAUGGUGACAGGCUUGUGGCUCACAAGACAUUCCACAGAUAUGUUGUGAGGGCCAAGGCAGGAAAAAAACAGUCAUCAAAAGAUGCUACUGGUAGAGCUGCACAUUCUGCUGGGGCUUCACUUCGUCGCCACAAUGAACUUGCAUUAAAGAAGGAAAUUCAAGAGCUGCUUACUUCUUGGAGAACUUAUUUUGAUGCUUCGAAUUGCAUAUUCCUACAUGCUCCCUCAAGUAGUCGGCAACUGUUCUUUGAUGGAGAGAGACCAUAUUUUAGCAAUCAGCAUAAUGUUAUUAGAAACAUUCCAUUGACUGUUCGAAGGCCUACUUUAAGAGAAGCAAAGCGUGUAUAUAGCCAGUUGACUCAAGUAUCCAAUGAAGCAGAAGAGGAUUUAGAGUCAACAUCCAUUACCGUAAGAAACACUGACCGAACCAUUGACAAAGAGGCCUCUGCUAACUUGGAUAGCAAUGAUAAAAGUGAGGCAUGUUCGAGUAAACAAGAUAAUUAUGAACUCUGUAUUUCAAGUGCAAGUGAGAGUGAAAGCGGGAUGGUAGGUAAAUCAACCCCUUUACAUCAGGCUUCACAAUCUGGUGAUUCACACAAGGUUUUGGAGCUGCUGGAACAGGGCAAUGAUCCUUGCAUCAAAGAUGAAAGAGGAAGGACCCCUUAUAUGUUGGCACAUGAUAAGGAAGUGAGGAAUACUUUUAGAAGAUUCAUGGCAUCAAACCUUGAAAAAUGGGACUGGUAUGCGGCAAAAGUGCCUAGUGCAUUGACCAAAGAAAUGGAAGAAUCACAAGCAGCUAAACAGGAACUUUUGAAACAAGCAAGUUCAAAGGAAUACAACAGUCAGAAUGCUGAUCAUUUUGACCAUCACUAGACUGGCCAAUAUAUUAUAGCUUGUUGAGUAUGAACAAUUGAAGUUUGAAUUGAUUAUAUCCCCCAUCUGAUUGGGAGUAAUGCAUUGCCAUGCUUGCUGAAAAAGAUGCCAAGAGAAAAGCCAGAGCAAAAGAAUUAAAAAAAUUGCGUAAAGCAAAAGAAAAGAAGGCCCAGGCUGAAGCUGCUAAGAAUGCUUCCAAAACUGCAGAAAGCCAUGUGAAUUCUUCAACUUCUAUU